ACUUAAAUUGAAGAGUUUGAUCAUGGCUCAGAUUGAACGCUGGCGGCAGGCCUAACACAUGCAAGUCGAACGGUAGCACAGAGAGCUUGCUCUCGGGUGACGAGUGGCGGACGGGUGAGUAAUGUCUGGGAAACUGCCUGAUGGAGGGGGAUAACUACUGGAAACGGUAGCUAAUACCGCAUAACGUCGCAAGACCAAAGAGGGGGACCUUCGGGCCUCUUGCCAUCAGAUGUGCCCAGAUGGGAUUAGCUAGUAGGUGGGGUAAUGGCUCACCUAGGCGACGAUCCCUAGCUGGUCUGAGAGGAUGACCAGCCACACUGGAACUGAGACACGGUCCAGACUCCUACGGGAGGCAGCAGUGGGGAAUAUUGCACAAUGGGCGCAAGCCUGAUGCAGCCAUGCCGCGUGUAUGAAGAAGGCCUUCGGGUUGUAAAGUACUUUCAGCGGGGAGGAAGGUGUUGUGGUUAAUAACCGCAGCAAUUGACGUUACCCGCAGAAGAAGCACCGGCUAACUCCGUGCCAGCAGCCGCGGUAAUACGGAGGGUGCAAGCGUUAAUCGGAAUUACUGGGCGUAAAGCGCACGCAGGCGGUCUGUCAAGUCGGAUGUGAAAUCCCCGGGCUCAACCUGGGAACUGCAUUCGAAACUGGCAGGCUAGAGUCUUGUAGAGGGGGGUAGAAUUCCAGGUGUAGCGGUGAAAUGCGUAGAGAUCUGGAGGAAUACCGGUGGCGAAGGCGGCCCCCUGGACAAAGACUGACGCUCAGGUGCGAAAGCGUGGGGAGCAAACAGGAUUAGAUACCCUGGUAGUCCACGCCGUAAACGAUGUCGACUUGGAGGUUGUUCCCUUGAGGAGUGGCUUCCGGAGCUAACGCGUUAAGUCGACCGCCUGGGGAGUACGGCCGCAAGGUUAAAACUCAAAUGAAUUGACGGGGGCCCGCACAAGCGGUGGAGCAUGUGGUUUAAUUCGAUGCAACGCGAAGAACCUUACCUACUCUUGACAUCCAGAGAACUUUCCAGAGAUGGAUUGGUGCCUUCGGGAACUCUGAGACAGGUGCUGCAUGGCUGUCGUCAGCUCGUGUUGUGAAAUGUUGGGUUAAGUCCCGCAACGAGCGCAACCCUUAUCCUUUGUUGCCAGCGGUUAGGCCGGGAACUCAAAGGAGACUGCCAGUGAUAAACUGGAGGAAGGUGGGGAUGACGUCAAGUCAUCAUGGCCCUUACGAGUAGGGCUACACACGUGCUACAAUGGCGCAUACAAAGAGAAGCGACCUCGCGAGAGCAAGCGGACCUCAUAAAGUGCGUCGUAGUCCGGAUUGGAGUCUGCAACUCGACUCCAUGAAGUCGGAAUCGCUAGUAAUCGUAGAUCAGAAUGCUACGGUGAAUACGUUCCCGGGCCUUGUACACACCGCCCGUCACACCAUGGGAGUGGGUUGCAAAAGAAGUAGGUAGCUUAACCUUCGGGAGGGCGCUUACCACUUUGUGAUUCAUGACUGGGGUGAAGUCGUAACAAGGUAACCGUAGGGGAACCUGCGGUUGGAUCACCUCCUUACCUUAAAGAA
rnacentral:rRNA from 1 species